rnacentral:tRNA from 1 species
GCGUCUUUAACUCAGCUGGAUAGAGUAACUGCCUUCUAAGCAGUAAGCCACAGGUUCGAAUCCUGUAAGACGCGCCA